ensembl:snRNA LOC120103232 U6 spliceosomal RNA
GUUCAGCUAAAUUGACAUAACAUCAAAUGGCUCUCUAAAUAUUUACGUUCAGCAUGGCCCCUGCGCAAGGAUGACACACAAAUUCGUGAAGCGUUCCAUAUAUAU